AGCAAUCAUUCUGAGAGGCUGCACCAGUGACUUCUUUGAGCAAUAUUUUCCAUGCAUCCAGCCUGGAACACUUACAGGGAUGGGAGCCUUAGAGAAAUUCUGCUUGCCGGGCUGGGUGCAAGAUAGUGCAGAGGGCAGCAAGGAGAUGACCGUGAAGCUGAGUGAUGAUGACAGACCUGUUGUGAGGAUUAAAUGAGGUAAAGCAGGUGCCUGCUUCGACAGGAGCUCUUUCGAGAACUAUGGUCCCUGAAUUCCUCUGGACCAAGUUCAGGAUGGACCUGUAUUCAAUGUCAAGUUGCUUUAAGAAGGUUCCAAGAUACUACUUUUCUAGAAAAUACCUGUUUACAAAGGAUUGCUGUGAGAACACAGUGAACACAGGGAGAUUGAAAUAAUAAGUACUAUUAAAUGAAACAUAAUAAGGGAAAAACACAACAAAAGAAUCUUAUUGAAAGAAAGGAUUUUUGUUCCUUUAAUAAAGAAAACAUCCUUUAAAAAGUCUUAUUUCUUCUGCAGCAUAUAAUAAUUUAAAUUUAGGCUCUAAAUAAGAAAACAUUUUAAGUCGAAGAAAUUUAACUGCAAUGAUAAGAACUUCGGUACUCCAGUGAUGUGGUUCCCAAAACCUGACAAGGGAAUCCUUAACUGAACCUGAUGUUCCAUGAGAAACUGUUUCCAUGAGCGCACACCGCCUCGCCCAGCCUGGCAUCUGCACAGACUCCCUUCUUUACCAAGAUUUGAAGGAGAAAUGUGUCAGGCAUUCUUUUGGAUCAGAUAAAAGUUUAGCAACAAUUUCCAUAGUACAUUCCAAUAUGAUAAGGUAAGCAGAGAACAGAUGGAAGAGCUCUCUUUUGCUGUGAAUUUCCACUUCUUUUAAGGUCUCCCAGUCGAAAUAUCACCAAGAGGCAUGGCUGGAAUAUCAGAGGAGGUGGCGUGGUGAGUCUGCUAUUCGCGGGCCUCACCUUUCUCACUUGUGAAGUAAGAAGACUAUUAUAUCUAAUUCACCUUGCUCUCUUUGGUGGGUAUUUGUCAUGCUGUUUUGAUGGUCCAGUGUCUUUCACUGUUUGGAGAAUUUCCCAUCUUCCCAAAAUAUAAGCCAAGAACUCCCACUCAAGCAUCCUUUGCAGCCAAGUUGUAGGCAUGUGUCUCCACCAGAAACACCAGCCUGAGACUUCAAAAUGGAAAAGAGUGAUAUGAAAUAGGUGCCAAAUAGAAUGGAAUCUGACCAGGUUGAGAGGCUGUGGUGACAGAAGACUUAGAACUGAUAUCUCAUCUUCAGGGAAGUAAUAAAUAAUGGAGGGCUUAUGUCCAGUGGCAGCAGUAAUUGGUUCCUCACCUGAAUCUGGCAGGGUAAUUGUGUGUAGUCUCCAAGCUGGAUUCUCUGAUUCUCCUAGAGAGCCUCUGAAAUACCCAUUAUCCUUUAAUAAUUCAUUUCCCCUUAAUACUAACUAGAAUGGGUUCUAUUGAAUUUAAAUGUAAAUCUGACUUAUUAUUACUUACUGUUCAUGCAAGUUUAAGUAAGUAAUUUAUUAUGAGCCUUCAAUUCCUCACCUCUAAAAAUGGGAGAAAUGAUAACUCAGUAAGGGUUGCUGUGGUGAUUAAAUGUGGUAAUGCAAGAAAAUGCCUACUCCUUAGAAGUAAGCUUUUUUAAAAAAGCAUCCUCUGUAUAAGCUCUGGGUUUUAUGUUUCAUUGAUAAAAGCUUCUGAGAGCUCACAUUCUAGGAAAGAACCAGAGAGUUGAUCAUAAAGACCUGGAACUCUUAGAAAUGCCGGUGUCUUGGCAUUAUGCAACUACAUCUUGGCUGGUUACUCCUUGUUGGAAAAAAGUAAUUCAUUAUGCACAAUAUAAGAGCAAAAAUUAUUUGGUCUACUCUCUCUCUUUUCUUGUGACCUUCUUGCUAGAUAUAUUCUUUUGGGCUUCUGAAAUUAAAAGGGAGAGAAUGAGGAAGACGAAGAAGAGCAUGAACUAGGGCUAAAAGAAAAAGUUUUCCAAGGAACUUUUCAGAAGAAAGCUUGGGAAAAGCUGUCAUGUGAGACAGAAACUUACAGAAAAGAAAAAAAAAGCAUUAAAAAUAUAUCUCUGAAAAAUUUCUCCACAUACUGUAUAAUUAAUGCAAUUUGACCUCCAGUAUAUCGCCGGUGUUCAUUGGACCCAAAUGUAGUUUUGAGUUCCUGUUUUUAAGUCAUUCUAUUCAUAAAAACCUAUAUUCCAAUGGCUCUUAUUCUUUCUUUGAGGUCUUAUAAAAAACCAAGGAAUAUAUAUUUAUUUUUUAAAAAUAGAAUAAAAUUCAUUCUGUCUUACAAAUACAAUACAGAUCCAUUGGAGUUUUUUCAGAUCUAAGCUGUAUUAUGGAAUCUUGGUAAUCUUAGUUUCCCUAUAUAUGAAACACAUUGUUACUUAAUCAGUCCAGGAAUUAUUUUCUAUCAUUAUUCAUCAA